UGAAAAUGAGGACUUCCUGAAGUCAGUGACUACUCUGGCCAUGAAAGCCAAGUGCAAGCUGACUAUCUGCCCUGAGGAGGAGAACAUGGAUGACCAGUGGAUGCAGGAUGAAAUGGAGAUCGGCUACAUCCAAGCCCCACACAAAACGCUGCCCGUGGUCUUCGACUCUCCAAGGAACAGAGGCCUGAAGGAGUUUCCCAUCAAACGCGUGAUGGUACCUGCAUGGGGUGGGGAGGGGGCACAGCUGCCGAAACCCUCUUGUCUUGAGACUCCCUCCUUUUAGCCUGCCUUCCCCACCCGUGCCUGUAGCUGAGUAGCCCAGUGCAAGCAAGUGGAAUUCCUACCGAAGUGGGAGCAUGUAGGUGGGGCUUGU
rnacentral:sRNA from 1 species